rnacentral:lncRNA from 1 species
GGCAAUUCUUGACUUCCUCAACGAGACUCUUGUGCAAGGUCAAUUCCUCUGCAUCCAUUUAGAUUUGUCCACUUGGAGAAUUUGGAGGUCAAGAGCUUCGCGUUGAGUCCGACUGAAAAUCUUGAUGCCUUUUGCGAUAUCCAUUGUAGCGUAGUACUUUCCUUUCCCCUUGCGUCGNCCGUACUACUAUAUAUAUAUAUAUAUAUAUAUAUAUAUAUAUAUAUAUUAAUUAUUUUAAUAUAUAUAUUUUUUAACGGAAAUUCACCGGAAACACUGUUUUGGGGAAGCCCUUCACCACCACUACCACCACCACCCACGGCGGCGGAACAAUGGUGCCACCUUCCAAAGCUUGCGCCCCUCCAUUUCUUUUCUUUCUUCCUCUCUCCCGCACUACGUUUUCUCCCUCCUCAUCCUCCACCUCCGCCUCUCUCAUCGACGCCGCAACCCCCUCUAUCCCCUUCUCCACCUCGUCCAAUCCCUAGCCUCCAGCCUCCGCCGCAAAUUCACAUUCCCCUUCUCUACCUCUCCAUGCUCUUCCUCGGCGCCAUCAUCUCCCCUUCCAAUCCCCUCUCUUCCUACUCCGACAUCUCCCACCAGAUCCACCUCACCAGACCGGCAAUCGCCUUCGUCACAUCCGCAACCGUCUCCAGGCUGCUGCCGCUGCCCCAGGGGACGGUGGUGCUCGACUCUCCUAAGUUCGAAUCCCUCCUGUUUCCCUGCGGCGCCGAAUUCGAUCCGCCGGAGGUGUUCUAGGACGACACGAUGGCGAUUCUCUAUUCCUCGAGCACUACGGGGAGGGUGAAGGGGGUGUUUCUGGCGAAAAUUAACGGUGUUGAAAAAAAAAGUUAACGGUGUUAAACGAUCGUUAAGUCGGAGGGCCUGAUUGUUCAAAAUUAAGGACUUCAGGGGUUUAGUUGGCCCAACUUCGACUAUAAGGAGCUAAACGUGAUAAGGGCCACUAUGAUAGGGGCUUAUUUGAUACUUAACCCUUGAAUAAAUGAAUCAUAGUUAAUAACCAUAAAAUUAAAUUAAAGAAUACAAAAUUAAAAUUGGAGAAAAAAAUAUUUUAAAAAAUUAUUAAAAAAAAUAAAAGUGGGCUAAAAAAAUGAAGCGCCAAUUAUGGUACACUAAAAUCUCAAGUGUAAUUCAAGAGUCAAGUCAGAAGACUCAUGACCAAAAUUGAUACUAAAAUAAUUAUUGUGAAAAUUGUUUAAAUACAAAUAAAAUAUGUUCGUACUUGUUUUUCAAGCGGAGAUCGAGCUUGAUAAUUUGCAAACAUGUUGGAAUUUGAGCCUACUAUAGCCUCUUUAGAGCAUCCACGCCCCAAGAGCUCCUUUGAGGGCUCUAAUAAGGUGGACUCCAUUUAAAAGGCCAUGCAUCUUUCACAUUGGAGACCUCUAAAAUUGGCUCUAAAAAAUUCAUUUAUAUUUCUUCAGUUUAAAUGAAUUUCAAAUAUGAAGAAAUAUUGUCUUUUGAAAAAUAUUUCUUACAAUAAUUGAAACUAGAUUUAAAUUACAAUUUAAAAAAAUAGUUUCAUCCUCGGCAAUUCUUGACUUCCUCAACGAGACUCUUGUGCAAGGUCAAUUCCUCUGCAUCCAUUUAGAUUUGUCCACUUGGAGAAUUUGGAGGUCAAGAGCUUCGCGUUGAGUCCGACUGAAAAUCUUGAUGCCUUUUGCGAUAUCCAUUGUAGCGUAGUACUUUUCCUUUUCCCCUUGCGUCGAGGACUCAACAUUCUUGCAUUUCCCCUUAUCUUCUUGGUCGCCUUUUGGUUUAUAGGUCUCACAGUGUGAUACUCGAGUCGGAGGAUGUUGUUGUGUACCCCAUCGAAACCUUUUGAAUGCUUCGAAGAGUGGAUGUCCUUGCCGCUCGAUGCGAAACGUUGAAAUUGACAAAAAACUCACCAAAUUUGAAAAUAUUUGAAUGGAGCCCCAUUGUUAGCUUGAUAGCGUUCGUGAGCUUGUUGAGUGAUUUGAAUCUACGCUACAUCAUAAUCUUGAACGAAAUGAGUGCCGUUCAAGUUGAUGACUUCAAGACCCGCAUUGAAGGUGUUCGAGCCUUGGACCGAGGAAUUUUGUUGGUUGCUACACCAAUUGUUGAAGUCACCCUCCAUUUCUUUAAGAAAAAUUAG